GACGAACGCUGGCGGCGUGCCUAAUACAUGCAAGUCGAACGAAACUUUCUUACACCGAAUGCUUGCAUUCACCGUAAGAAGUUGAGUGGCGGACGGGUGAGUAACACGUGGGUAACCUGCCUAAAAGAAGGGGAUAACACUUGGAAACAGGUGCUAAUACCGUAUAUCUCUAAGGAUCGCAUGAUUCUUAGAUGAAAGAUGGUUCUGCUAUCGCUUUUAGAUGGACCCGCGGCGUAUUAACUAGUUGGUGGGGUAACGGCCUACCAAGGUGAUGAUACGUAGCCGAACUGAGAGGUUGAUCGGCCACAUUGGGACUGAGACACGGCCCAAACUCCUACGGGAGGCAGCAGUAGGGAAUCUUCCACAAUGGACGCAAGUCUGAUGGAGCAACGCCGCGUGAGUGAAGAAGGUCUUCGGAUCGUAAAACUCUGUUGUUAGAGAAGAACACGAGUGAGAGUAACUGUUCAUUCGAUGACGGUAUCUAACCAGCAAGUCACGGCUAACUACGUGCCAGCAGCCGCGGUAAUACGUAGGUGGCAAGCGUUGUCCGGAUUUAUUGGGCGUAAAGGGAACGCAGGCGGUCUUUUAAGUCUGAUGUGAAAGCCUUCGGCUUAACCGGAGUAGUGCAUUGGAAACUGGAAGACUUGAGUGCAGAAGAGGAGAGUGGAACUCCAUGUGUAGCGGUGAAAUGCGUAGAUAUAUGGAAGAACACCAGUGGCGAAAGCAGCUCUCUGGUCUGUAACUGACGCUGAGGUUCGAAAGCGUGGGUAGCAAACAGG
rnacentral:rRNA from 1 species